rnacentral:rRNA from 1 species
AACGAACGCUGGCGGCAUGCCUAACACAUGCAAGUCGAACGAGACCUUCGGGUCUAGUGGCGCACGGGUGCGUAACGCGUGGGAACCUGCCCUUAGGUUCGGAAUAACUCCCCGAAAGGGGUGCUAAUACCGGAUAAUGUCUUCGGACCAAAGAUUUAUCGCCUUUGGAUGGGCCCGCGUUGGAUUAGUUAGUUGGUAGGGUAAAAGCCUACCAAGGGGACGAUCCAUAGCUGGUCUGAGAGGAUGAUCAGCCACACUGGGACUGAGACACGGCCCAGACUCCUACGGGAGGCAGCAGUGGGGAAUAUUGGACAAUGGGCGAAAGCCUGAUCCAGCAAUGCCGCGUGAGUGAUGAAGGCCUUAGGGUUGUAAAGCUCUUUUACCCGGGAUGAUAAUGACAGUACCGGGAGAAUAAGCUCCGGCUAACUCCGUG